UACGUAGGGGGCGAGCGUUGUCCGGAAUUAUUGGGCGUAAAGGGCGCGUAGGCGGUCUCUUAAGUCUGAUGUGAAAGCCCCCGGCUUAACCGGGGAGGGUCAUUGGAAACUGGGAGACUUGAGUGCAGGAGAGGGAAGCGGAAUUCCAUGUGUAGCGGUGAAAUGCGUAGAGAUAUGGAGGAACACCAGUGGCGAAGGCGGCUUCCUGGCCUGUAACUGACGCUGAGGCGCGAAAGCGUGGGGAGCAAACAGG
rnacentral:rRNA from 1 species